GAUGAACGCUGGCGGCGUGCCUAAUACAUGCAAGUCGAGCGAACGGACGAGAGGCUUGCUUUUCUGAUGUUAGCGGCGGACGGGUGAGUAACACGUGGAUAACCUACCUAUAAGACUGGGAUAACUUCGGGAAACCGGAGCUAAUACCGGAUGAUAUUUUGAACCGCAUGGUUCAAAAGUGAAAGACGGUCUUGCUGUCACUUAUAGAUGGAUCCGCGCUGCAUUAGCUAGUUGGUAAGGUAACGGCUUACCAAGGCAACGAUGCAUAGCCGACCUGAGAGGGUGAUCGGCCACACUGGAACUGAGACACGGUCCAGACUCCUACGGGAGGCAGCAGUAGGGAAUCUUCCGCAAUGGGCGAAAGCCUGACGGAGCAACGCCGCGUGAGUGAUGAAGGUCUUCGGAUCGUAAAACUCUGUUAUUAGGGAAGAACAUAUGUGUAAGUAACUGUGCACAUCUUGACGGUACCUAAUCAGAAAGCCACGGCUAACUACGUG
rnacentral:rRNA from 1 species